CACCUUCGAAGGCUAAGUACUCCUGACUGACCGAUAGUGAACCAGUACCGUGAGGGAAAGGUGAAAAGCACCCCGACGAGGGGAGUGAAACAGUUUCUGAAACCGGACGCCUACAAUCAGUCGGAGGCUCCUUGAGAGCUGACGGCGUACCUUUUGUAUAAUGGGUCAUCGACUUGGUCUAUCUAGCAAGCUUAAGCCGUUAGGUGUAGGCGCAGCGAAAGCGAGUCUUAAUAGGGCGAAUGAGUUAGAUGGAUCAGACCCGAAACCGAGUGAUCUAGGCAUGACCAGGAUGAAGGUAAGGUAACACUUACUGGAGGUCCGAACCCACACCUGUUGAAAAAGGUCGGGAUGAGUUGUGCCUAGGGGUGAAAGGCCAAUCAAACUCGGAGAUAGCUGGUUCUCCGCGAAAUCUAUUUAGGUAGAGCGUCAUCCGAAUACCCCGGGGGGUAGAGCACUGGAUGGGUAAUGGGGCCCCACAGGCUUACUGAUCCUAACCAAACUCCGAAUACCCGGGAGUACUAGAUGGCAGACACACGGCGGAUGCUAACGUCCGUCGUGGAGAGGGAAACAACCCUGACCGACAGUUAAGGCCCCCAAUUCAUGGCUAAGUGGGAAAGCAGGUGAGACGGCCAAAACAACCAGGAGGUUGGCUUAGAAGCAGCCACCCUUUAAAGAAAGCGUAAUAGCUCACUAGUCGAGUCGGCCUGCGCGGAAGAUAUAUCGGGGCUAAACUGAUAACCGAAGCUGUGGAUGCGCACUUUGUGCGUGUGGUAGAGGAGCGUUCUGUAAGCCGUUGAAGGUGAAUCGUAAGGUUUGCUGGAGGUAUCAGAAGUGCGAAUGCUGACAUGAGUAACGAUAAGGGGGGUGAAAAACCUCCCCGCCGAAAGAUCAAGGUUUCCUGUCCAACGUUAAUCGGGACAGGGUGAGUCGGCCCCUAAGGCGAGGGCGAAAGCCGUAGUCGAUGGAAAACCGGUUAAAAUUCCGGUACCGAUUUUUACUGCGAUGGAGGGACGGAGAAGGCUAGGCUAGCACGGCGUUGGUAGUCCGUGUUUAAGCGUGUAGGUAGGGGGAUUAGGUAAAUCCGGUUCCUCGUUAAUCUGAGACGUGAUGACGAUCUCUUGGGGCGACCCUUGAGAGAAGUAGUUGAUGCCAUACUUCCAGGAAAAUCUUCUAAGCUUCAGGUAAGAAUUGACCGUACUGUAAACCGACACAGGUGAUCAGGUAGAGAAUACCAAGGCGCUUGAGAGAACUUGGGUGAAGGAACUAGGCAAAAUGGUACCGUAACUUCGGGAGAAGGUACGCUCCUCAUGGUGAUCGGACUUGCUCCGUAAGCUGAGGGGAGUCGAAGUGACCAGGUGGCUGCAACUGUUUAUUAAAAACAUAGCACUCUGCAAACUCGUGAGAGGAAGUAUAGGGUGUGACGCCUGCCCGGUGCCGGAAGGUUAAUUGAUGGGGUUAUCUUCGGAGAAGCUCUUGAUCGAAGCCCCGGUAAACGGCGGCCGUAACGAUAACGGUCCUAAGGUAGCGAAAUUCCUUGUCGGGUAAGUUCCGACCUGCACGAAUGGCGUAACGACUUCCCCGCUGUCUCCAAGAUAGACUCAGCGAAAUUGAAUUGCCUGUCAAGAUGCAGGCUUCCCGCGGUUAGACGGAAAGACCCCGUGCACCUUUACUACAGCUUCACAUUGGCAUUAGGCCGAGCAUGUGCAGGAUAGGUGGUGGGCUUUGAAGCGUGAACGCCAGUUUGCGUGGAGCCUCCCUUGAGAUACCACCCUUGCUCUGCUUGAUGUCUAACCGCGGUCCAUUAUCUGGAUCCGGGACCCUGUGUGGCGGGUAGUUUGACUGGGGCGGUCGCCUCCUAAAGCGUAACGGAGGCGCGCGAAGGUU
rnacentral:rRNA from 1 species